GCAAGUCGAGCGGACAGAAGGGAGCUUGCUCCCGGAUGUUAGCGGCGGACGGGUGAGUAACACGUGGGUAACCUGCCUGUAAGACUGGGAUAACUUCGGGAAACCGGAGCUAAUACCGGAUAGUUCCUUGAACCGCAUGGUUCAAGGAUGAAAGACGGUUUCGGCUGUCACUUACAGAUGGACCCGCGGCGCAUUAGCUAGUUGGUGGGGUAAUGGCUCACCAAGGCGACGAUGCGUAGCCGACCUGAGAGGGUGAUCGGCCACACUGGGACUGAGACACGGCCCAGACUCCUACGGGAGGCAGCAGUAGGGAAUCUUCCGCAAUGGACGAAAGUCUGACGGAGCAACGCCGCGUGAGUGAUGAAGGUUUUCGGAUCGUAAAGCUCUGUUGUUAGGGAAGAACAAGUGCGAGAGUAACUGCUCGCACCUUGACGGUACCUAACCAGAAAGCCACGGCUAACUACGUGCCAGCAGCCGCGGUAAUACGUAGGUGGCAAGCGUUGUCCGGAAUUAUUGGGCGUAAAGGGCUCGCAGGCGGUUUCUUAAGUCUGAUGUGAAAGCCCCCGGCUCAACCGGGGAGGGUCAUUGGAAACUGGGAAACUUGAGUGCAGAAGAGGAGAGUGGAAUUCCACGUGUAGCGGUGAAAUGCGUAGAGAUGUGGAGGAACACCAGUGGCGAAGGCGACUCUCUGGUCUGUAACUGACGCUGAGGAGCGAAAGCGUGGGGAGCGAACAGGAUUAGAUACCCUGGUAGUCCACGCCGUAAACGAUGAGUGCUAAGUGUUAGGGGGUUUCCGCCCCUUAGUGCUGCAGCUAACGCAUUAAGCACUCCGCCUGGGGAGUACGGUCGCAAGACUGAAACUCAAAGGAAUUGACGGGGGCCCGCACAAGCGGUGGAGCAUGUGGUUUAAUUCGAAGCAACGCGAAGAACCUUACCAGGUCUUGACAUCCUCUGACAACCCUAGAGAUAGGGCUUUCCCUUCGGGGACAGAGUGACAGGUGGUGCAUGGUUGUCGUCAGCUCGUGUCGUGAGAUGUUGGGUUAAGUCCCGCAACGAGCGCAACCCUUGAUCUUAGUUGCCAGCAUUCAGUUGGGCACUCUAAGGUGACUGCCGGUGACAAACCGGAGGAAGGUGGGGAUGACGUCAAAUCAUCAUGCCCCUUAUGACCUGGGCUACACACGUGCUACAAUGGACAGAACAAAGGGCUGCAAGACCGCAAGGUUUAGCCAAUCCCAUAAAUCUGUUCUCAGUUCGGAUCGCAGUCUGCAACUCGACUGC
rnacentral:rRNA from 1 species